rnacentral:rRNA from 1 species
CCUACGGUGUGCAGCAGUAGGGAAUCUUUCACAAUGGGCGAACGCCUGAUGGAGCAACGCCGCGUGCAGGAUGAAGGCCUUCGGGUUGUAAACUGCUUUUAUAAGCGAGAAAUAUGAUGGUAACUUAUGAGUAAGGAUCGGAUAACUACGUGCCAGCAGCCGCGGUCAUACGUAGGAUCCGAGCAUUAGCCGGGGUGACUGGGUGUAAAAAGUUGCGUAGUUGGCAUAAGCAGUAGCUAGUGAAAUCUGGUGGGUCAACCAUUCAGACUAUUAGCUAAACUGUUAAGCUCGAGAUCUUUAGGGGUAACUGGAAUGUCUAGUGUAGUGGUGAAAUGCGUAGAUAUUAGAAGGAACACCAAUGGCGAAGGCAGGUUACUGGGACGGUUCUGACGCUAAGGCACGAAAGCGUAGGGAGCAAACGGGAUUAGAUACCCGGGUAGUC